rnacentral:tRNA from 1 species
GUUAUGGCUUAGUGGUAAAGCACUUGCCUAGCAUGUGUGAGGCGCUGGGUUCAAUUCUCAGCAUUACA